GGUCCCGUAGCUCAACGGAUAGAGCACUUGGCUUCGAACCAAGGGGUUGGAGGUUCGAGUCCUUCCGGGAUCGCCA
rnacentral:tRNA from 2 species